AAGCGAGCCCAAAUCAGGCGAAAACCCAGAAACAGCGAAGGAAUAACCAGACCUGCAUAGGGCUUCUUUAAGGCCCAGUCUGUCAUUCGUGAAGUCUGCAAUUCCACACUCCUCAUGGUCCUUUAGCUGUCAUCUUUCGUGAGAUGGCUGAGGGCUUCGUACCUUGAGAGCGGACACGUGGAUGGCCUGGACGUCACCUCCGUACUCCUCGCAGACGAUGUCAUGGGCCAGCAGCUGCUCCUUGACCCGCUUGGGGUCCGCCUGAGGCUUAUCGCACUUGUUCACCGCCAGGAUGAUGGGCACUGGGGACGCCAGAGGCGACAUCGCACACUCACCAAAAAGUUGCAGUCACGCACCUUUGGAUUUUUUGGCCAGCUGUAUGGACUCGAUGGUCUGGUUCAUGACCCCGUCGUCCGCAGCAACCACCAGGAUGAUGAUAUCGGUAACCAGGGCUCCACGCGCCCUCAUGGCAGUGAACGCCGCGUGGCCCGGAGUGUCCAGGAACGUGAUCUUCUCUCCGGAAGGCAGCUGGACUGGAGGGAGAUCCAAUCAAUAUGCACAGUGAGAUACACGUAUAUCACACAAAUAACGACAUUGCCGUUAAAUGUAACAUUUUUUAAAAUUUGGAAAUGUUAUCGUUCAAAAAAAGAAACUGAUAUGGAGCCAGAGUGACAGAGCUUCUCUACCCUCUCUGAAAGAAAGGCUCCUAUGUGCUGUGUGAUGCCCCCGGCCUCCAUGGCUGCCACCUGGGUCUUGCGCAGGCUGUCCAGCAGGGUGGUCUUGCCAUGGUCCACAUGGCCCAUGAUGGUGACCACCGGGGGGCGACUCACCAGAGCCGCAGGGUCAGCUGGCGGCCUGGAGACGCAAACAUUUUUUCAAUUUGGGGUUAAAUAAAGUAUUUAAAAGGGCAGUUGGGAGGUAGGCUGUUGGCCAUGGGAGAGAACACAAUUCCAGCAGAGGGUCCAGCAGAACAAAUGCACAGCAGCACAUAAAUUGGGAAAGUUUGUUUAGAUCCAGUGACACUGCAGUCAUGGAAACGGAACGUCACACUUCGGUACUCUGUUGGGAAAAUCCCUGAGCAUCUAUUACACCAAAGUAUGAUGCCAGUGUCACCUAUCUUCGAGGGAGCACAUUCCAAAAUGGACGCAUACCAGAAAGCAAGCGAGCACACAAUAGACAGCAAACAGUAAACCUGUCUCUCUCUCUUACUGUCUCU